rnacentral:rRNA from 1 species
CUACGGGAGGCAGCAGUGGGGAAUAUUGCACAAUGGGGGAAACCCUGAUGCAGCAACGCCGCGUGAGUGAUGACGGUCUUCGGAUUGUAAAACUCUGUCUUCAGGGACGAUAAUGACGGUACCUGAGGAGGAAGCCACGGCUAACUACGUGCCAGCAGCCGCGGUAAU